rnacentral:lncRNA from 1 species
AUGCCCUUGACUCCUGACCCUCUGGGCACACUCUGGCUCACGUUCAGCCACUGUGCACCAGCACUCCCACGGCCUUUUCCAACAGGGCAGCUUUCCAGCCGUACAGCCCCCAGCUUGUGCCGCUCCCCCACACUGCCUUACCUUACCUUGCCUUUCAAGCACUCCCUCGAGUACCUUGUCCCUCCAUUGAUUAUGCCUCACGUGCCUUCUCCUCCCUACCCCUACCUUGGCCUUGAUUUCCCUCCCUUGCCAGCCUGCUCCUUGUUUUCCCGAGCCCUUCCUGGCCUCGCCUGGAGGUGCCCGGACCCAGGGGAAGGGUUUCUGGACUCGCCCCCGCCUCAGCAGCCCCAGCUCCCCCAGCUGCCCCCACAGACCGCAAGCCCCGCCCAUCCCAGACUGAGGCAGCGUCCGGCCCCGCCAAUCCCCGCCCGGGGGGGGGGGGGGGGGGGGGGGGGGGGGGGGGGGGGGGGGGGGGGGGGGGGGGGGGGGGGGGGGGGGGGGGGGGGGGGGGGGGGCCCGCCAAUCCCCGCCCGCCUUUCUCCGCUCUGUCCAAUCACAGCAGCCCUUUCAAUCCGGCCCCUGUCCCGCCAAGCUUUGCUCGCGCAGUCGCGGCCCGGCCCCUCAGCUCGGCCCCGCCGCCCCGUUCGCCUGAGGCGCCGCUCCGGGAGGCGGCGGAGCGGUGGCUUCGCUGCGGCAGCGCGCCGCAGAUGCUUCUGGGGCCCGGGAAGGGCCGGCGGGGGCUCCCCGUUCAGGUCUCGGCCGGGAAUUCUCCCCGAGGCAGGAGGGGACGGCGGGGAGCGAGCGCAAUCGGCUCCCGGAACGGGGGGGGGGGGGGGGGGGGGGGGGGGGGGGGGGGGGGGGGGGGGGGGGGGGGGGGGGGGGGGGGGGGGGGGGGGGGGGGGGGGGGGGGGGGGGGGGGGGGGGGGGGGGGGGGGGGGGGGGGGGGGGGGGGGGGGGGGGGGGGGGGGGGGGGCGGCGGCGGGAGCAGCGCCUGAAGGCAGAGCGGGGCCCGGGGAAAUGAGCGGGGCGGGAAAAGACGGGCCGGGAUUGGUUGGGCCGGAGCGGCGCUGUGCCGGCAAGAGGCUAUAG